rnacentral:rRNA from 1 species
CCUACGGGAGGCUGCAGUGAGGAAUAUUGGUCAAUGGGCGGGAGCCUGAACCAGCCAAGUCGCGUGAGGGAAGACGGUCCUACGGAUUGUAAACCUCUUUUGCCGGGGAGCAACGGGGUCCUUGCGAGGGCCCGAUGAGAGUACCCGGAGAAAAAGCAUCGGCUAACUCCGUGCCAGCAGCCGCGGUAAUACGGAGGAUGCGAGCGUUAUCCGGAUUUAUUGGGUUUAAAGGGUGCGCAGGCGGCCUGUUAAGUCAGCGGUAAAAGCCCGGGGCUCAAACCCGGCGAGCCGUUGAAACUGGCGGGCUGGAGUUGGAGAGAAGUACGCGGAAUGCGCGGUGUAGCGGUGAAAUGCUUAGAUAUCGCGCAGAACCCCGAUUGCGAAGGCAGCGUACCGGCUCCACACUGACGCUGAGGCACGAAAGCGUGGGUAUCGAACAGGAUUAGAUACCCGUGUAGUC